UUUUCUCUCACUCUCUACUUUCUCAAAGAUAAGAUAAAUGGUCUUAUUUCUGUAAAAUGCACUGUAUUCCAGCUGGUUUGUCUAGUGGGUAGAGCACACCAUGAGGUCGUAAUUCACACCCUGCUCUGCCACCAACUUCAGUAAAGUGGAAGUGUUACAGGCCCAGCUGAAGCUCUGUGUCAAGGAGCUGCUGGAGCCGCUUCUGGAACACAGCAGGACACCAGCUCUGUCCCAUGGUCACUAGUGGUCAUCACCCAUAGCUCCAACUUUGUCAGCAUAGACUUGGGCAUCCUGCUAGAACCAUGACUGUACACUGAGGACAAUAAACCCUGUUUCUUGUCCACCAUGAUGACUACUCCCUCCUUUUUAUGGUGUUCCAGAAUAAUAGAGCUGAAAGUCUUCUCCAGGACAAAUUCUGUAGCUACUCAGCCAAGGAUGCAGAACACAAUGGGGGCAGUCAUAUUAGAGAAGUGUGGAAGAGCUCACCACAGUGUCUGGCAGAAUAUGUGCUGAGGAAAUGUUUGCACUCUGAAUUUAGAGAGAGAGAUUUACAGGAAGUUGCAAAAAAAUGUACCCGGACAUCCUGCACCCCCUUUACCAGGCUCCCAGUUGUGAUAUGGUAUUUGGGAAACAUUCUUAAGAAGCAUGUGCCAGGCAAUAUGUCAAGUGUGCUGAUGUACUUUCUGAUUUAAUUAUUAAAACAGCCCUGUGAAGUAGAUAUUGAUAUUUCCCUUUUUAAAAUAAAGGAAACCAAAGC
rnacentral:lncRNA from 1 species